rnacentral:rRNA from 1 species
AUUGAACGCUAGCGGGAUGCUUUACACAUGCAAGUCGACCGAGCGGCGGACGGGUGAGUAAUCUAUCGGAACGUGCCCAGUAGAGGGGGAUAACUACUCGAAAGAGUGGCUAAUACCUCAUACUAUUGGAGCAGCCCAUAUGGGAUUAGCUAGUUGGUGGGGUAAAGGCUCACCAAGGCAACGAUCCGUAGGUGGUGCGAGAGGACGAUCAGCCACACUGGGACUGAGAAACGGCCCAGACGCCGACGGGAGGCAGCAGUGGGGAAAUUUGGACAAUGGGGGAAACCCUGAUCCAGCCAUGCCGCGUGUAUGAGAAGGCCUUCGGGUUGUAAAGUACUUUUGGCAGAGAAGCGGUAUCUGCAGAAUAAGCACCGGCUAACUACGUGCCAGCAGCCGCGGUAAUUC